UACGUAGGGGGCUAGCGUUGUCCGGAAUCAUUGGGCGUAAAGCGCGUGUAGGCGGUCCGGUAAGUCCGCUGUGAAAGUCGGGGGCUCAACCCUCGAAUGCCGGUGGAUACUGUCGGGCUAGAGUGCGGAAGAGGCGAGUGGAAUUCCUGGUGUAGCGGUGAAAUGCGCAGAGAUCAUGAGGAAGACCAGUGGCGAAGGCGGGUCUCUGGACAGUUCCUGACAGCUGAGACACGAAGGCCAGGGGAGGCAAACGGG
rnacentral:rRNA from 1 species